rnacentral:rRNA from 1 species
AUUGAACGCUGGCGGCAGGCCUAACACAUGCAAGUCGAGCGAGCGGCGGACGGGUGCGUAAUGUCUGGGAAACUGCCCGAUGGAGGGGGAUAACUACUGGAAACGGUAGCUAAUACCGCAUACCAUCAGAUGUGCCCAGAUGGGAUUAGCUAGUAGGUGGGGUAACGGCUCACCUAGGCGACGAUCCCUAGCUGGGCUGAGAGGAUGACCAGCCACACUGGGACUGAGACACGGUCCAGAAUCCUACGGUAGGCAGCAGUGGGGAAUAUUGGACAAUGGGCGCAAGCCUGAUGCAGCCAUGCCGCGUGUAUGAUGAAGGCCUUCGGGUUGUAAAGCACUUUCAGCGGGGAGGCGUUACCCGCAGAAGAAGCACCGGCUAACUCCGUGCCAGCAGCCGCGGUAAUAC